rnacentral:rRNA from 1 species
CUCGUAGGCGGCCAACCAAGUCAGACGUGAAAUCCCUCGGCUUAACCGGGGAACUGCGUCUGAUACUGGAUGGCUUGAGUUUGGGAGAGGGAUGCGGAAUUCCAGGUGUAGCGGUGAAAUGCGUAGAUAUCUGGAGGAACACCGGUGGCGAAGGCGGCAUCCUGGACCAACACUGACGCUGAGUGAGCGAAAGCCAGGGAGCAAACG